CAACUUUUGACAACGGAUCUCUUGGCUCUCGCAACGAUGAAGAACGCAGCGAAAUGCGAUACGUAAUGUGAAUUGCAGAAUUCCGUGAAUCAUCAAAUCUUUGAACGCACAUUGCACUCCUUUGGAGUAUGCCUGUUUGAGUAUCUAUA
rnacentral:rRNA from 1 species